rnacentral:rRNA from 1 species
CAUCCUCCAAGGCUAAAUACUCCUGACUGACCGAUAGUGAACCAGUACCGUGAGGGAAAGGCGAAAAGAACCCCGGCGAGGGGAGUGAAAAAGAACCUGAAACCGUGUACGUACAAGCAGUGGGAGCCCCACCACUAAGCCAGUGGUGAACUCCACAUACGCAUCCUUUGCUGAGGAUACGGUUAACGGAGCGAAAGCGACGUUCAACCGCAAAAAAGC